UAUGUUGUUCAGCAUUUCCCUC
rnacentral:miRNA from 1 species